GAGCUAAUACCGCAUGACAUCUCGUGGCUACGGCUGUCGAGAUCAAAGCUAGCCUCUUCUUGAAAGCUAGCGCCACCGGAGGAGCCCGCGGCCCAUUAGCUUGAUGGUGAGGUAACGGCUCACCAUGGCUACGAUGGGUAGCCGGCCUGAGAGGAUGAACGGUCACACUGGAACUGAGACACGGUCCAGACUCCUACGGGAGGCAGCAGUGAGGUAAUUUUGCGCAAGUCGGGGGAAACCCUGACGCAGCGACGCCGCGUGGAGGACGAAGGCCUUCGGGUCGUAAACUCCUGUCAAGUCGGGACGAAAGCCGGUGGGGAUGAAUAAGCCCUGCGGUUGACGGUACCGUUGAAGGAAGCCCGGCUAACUCCGUG
rnacentral:rRNA from 1 species